ensembl:antisense
GCUCUCGGGGGAAUGUCGCCCUCCACAGACACCAGCGCAAGGAAGGAGCCCUCCAGUUGUAGCUUCUCUACCUGCUCAUUGAUCUGCCCGUCACCGCCCCGUCGGUCCUCCCUCUGCACCCCAAGGACGUCCUCCUCAUCCACAUGGCUCACAUCAUCAUCCUCAUCCUCCUCAUCCUCUUUGUCCUCCCUCUUCUCCUCCUCACCCUGCACCUCCAUCCUCACCUGGCCCUUGACAUCUAGUACCCCUUCACCCUCUUCCUGGGGACCCAGCAGGUGGUAUGUGGCCGUGGAGCCCUCCGGGCUGUGGCUGUCCUUCCCAGGAGAGGAUGACGUAGACUCGUUGCUGACAGGAGAGAUGUCACUGCUGCUGUGGUGGUUGACGGCCGCAGGGCUGGAGGGUGAUGGAGACUUCACUGGGAUCUGCCAGGAGGGGAUCUUUGGGGCCGACGGGGAAGGAGGGAACUGUCUCCUAGCAGUGGACAAGGAAAAAAGAGAAGCAGGUAGAGGUUGGUGACAGCUCCUGGCUCCAGUGUCACACACCCCUUGGUCCCUGAUCCUAAACACUCAAGCGAUGGCAGCAGUUUCUCUAGGGUCACGAGGCAGGGCCCACCGGAGGCCUCAUCAGCCAAGCUAGUGUGUCUACCAAAAAUGCCCUGUGCUGCCUGAUGCCCUAACACAGCCUCGCCCACCUCGGGGCAGGACCUACCAACCUUGGCAAUUGUUGGCCUGCCAGCUGGGGGCCCAACACACUUUGGAGUUGCCCCACCCACAUUCAACAUUGUCCCUACUCCUCUCCUGUGGCCAGACAGGGACAAGGAGGCAAAAGAGACCGAGGCUGGGAACCCAGAACCCCUGGCUAAUGCGCCCAUAAUCUCAGCCAAGGGUAGCAGUGGGGAACCCUGGCCACUGGCUCAGAAUCAUUCAGAACUCUGAGCCCAAACUUUGACCAAGGAAAAGCCAGCUCUGCCGGGCCCUCAGCCAGCAGCCAGCCAGACUGAAGCCCAUUCCAGGACAGACCUGGGAAGUUGGGUCAGCAUGGUCAUGGCUCAGAAAUGCAGCUCUAUGACAUUAAGUCCUGUUUCUGCAAAGGACAAGAGGAUAAGUCCUGUUCCUGCCCAGGGCUGUGCCGCCUACCAGCACUGGUCACACAGUCAGCCUUCAACCCCAGAGCCCACCCGGUGGCACACGCACCAUCCAGGCCUGCACUACACAAACACAAGCAGCUCAGUUUGCUGUUUCCUUGGUUUCAGAGUCAUCUGAUGGCCUACAUCUGUCCCCUACCCACAGAGACACCUGUCUUCUAGGUUUGGAAGGCCAAAGACUUCUAAGGACAAUCUGCAUGCCCUGCCUGACCAGCCACAUCUGUUAUGGAGACACUCCCUCCUCCCUCACCUUAGGAAGUGUGCUCCUCCAGCCCUCCAGCCUGGGCCCCUCGGAGCAUGCGGUACCCCAUCCUCGCUGCUCCUACAACGCCCGCCUUGGCUGUGCAGGCCUUGCCUCACAGCAUCUAAGUCCCUGGCCAUACAGACACUCAUGCCUUCAGGCAGAGCCCACUCGCGUGCACUCAGGCCGACUGACUGUUUACUCCAGCUUUCUAAACAGAGGCUUCCAGGACACUCGCGUUAAAGUCUGCUCACUCCUCAACCAGGUCAACACUGUGAACACUGCACUGCCAUUCUAGGGAGCACCAGGAAGCUUCCGGAGAGGCAGAGCUGGUCUGCUGAUGCGGCUCUCACACCCUGUAGGCUUCAGUGUGAUGUUGUCUGAGACAAGGCUGCCUGGAAAGAGUGGCCACCUCCAGGUGCACUGUGACAGUAGGUGUCAUGUACCAGACAGUUCUCUGCCUGCAGGCCCUGUCUCUGCCCCACUGCUGACCUCUUGGACAAGCAUUUUUCUUCUUUUCCUCUUUUUUAACACAACACUAUGGAUGCUAUCCUAUCCCCUGAUGUGGGAGCGCCAGCUCCUUAGGAGGGGAGACAGGAGUGCCUAAGGUUCGCCUCAAGAUCUUCAUCUUCCAGCUCAGUGAGGGGUCCCGACCCUCCCAUGAUUGUUGUGCCCGCCCACAAGCCCCCAACACCACCAGGUUGACCUUCGAUAAGCGAGAGCUCUCAGCUUCCUUUCCUACCGAUUCAAAAGAAGUCCUUUCAAGGAGUUGAUUUCCGACUUGAGCUCAUUAAUAUUCUGGGACUCCAGGAUCCAGUUGGUUGAUGUGGUGGCCUGUAGGUCAGAACACGGGUCACAGUGGUGCCUGGUGCCAGCCUGCGUCUGGGGUGGGGGGAUUUAGAAGGGCCCUGGCUGGGGCAGCAGCUGCAAGGUACUCUGUGUACACUCUGCACUGUCACGCCUGCCUGUGACAACACCCUAUGACAACAGUCCCCAACCCCUGGCUGGGGAUGUGGUGGUGCAAAGAAGUCCUUCUGUCUCGCACUGACACUGACGGAAUGGGAGACUACAAGUCCCACCUGCGGCCGUCUCUCCCACUCCCUACCCCGCUGAGGAUGCGCCAAGGCCCCACCACCAUGUGACCUGUUGAGGCCUGUGACUACCCUGUUCCUGAUUCCUAGGAGAGCAAUGGUUCAUGGGACAGAUGAGCUAGAGGAGUCCAGACAGAUCUGCACAGGUGCCAGUGAGGGACAGAGCCUCCUGCCUGGGACAGGUGGCUCUCUUGCCUGCCUUGAGGUUUAGAUUCCCAGCUCCUACUUAGU